ensembl:piRNA 21ur-2956 ncRNA
UUCAGGAGGUUUACCUUUGCA